rnacentral:lncRNA from 1 species
UCGCGAAGGAUAUGGUAUAAUUAUUUCUCCAACCUGAGAUCACCAUAGUGACUUGCAAGCAACUCACUAUACUUUGGUGUCGGACUACUUCAAUUUUUAAUUUAGUGAUGAAAGAUUUUUGGGCACAGUCAAGUACUUGUGAAGUUGGUGUGUGAGUCAAGAUAGAAUUGACCCCUUCGAAUAAAUAGGAGUUAAUGCAGC